GCAUGUCUCGACGCCUGAGUUUCCUAUUCAUGUGAUAACACUGGAAUGGUAGAAAGAGCUAGGAACAGGCAGAGGCUAAGAGAGGAGAAUGUUGGAAGUAAGAAGGCCAGAUCCCACAUUCCAAAACUAUUUGAAACAAGAAUUCACCUUCUAAUUGAACUCCAUUCAACAAAAAAAUUGAGCAUUUGGAAUGCAUGGCCUAUACCCAAUCCUGUAUGCUUCUCUCCCAUCUCUUACUAUUUUCAGACAUUCACCAAUUGUCUGGGGAUAGCUGAGAUCCAGAACUUGGGCACCAGAAGAGGCCCUACUUGUAAUUUGCAGAAUUGUGUAUACUGCAAUCAAUGAAGAGAAGCAAAAGCUGAAAUUUGUAAACCAAGAUAAUUCAACAAGGACGUUUCUAUCAGCAGGCUCUUCGGCCAAAGAUGUUUCUAUUGAUAAGCCAGGUGGUUGGCCUCGAGGUCUGAAAUUUCAAAUUCCAAAAUUCCGUGAGUGUGAACUUGUGGAACCACACCUCAAAC
rnacentral:lncRNA from 1 species